CAGUAGCCACGGUAAUACGAAGGGUGCAAGCGUUAAUCGGAAUUACUGGGCGUAAAGCGUGCGUAGGCGGUGAGUUAAGUCUGCUGUGAAAUCCCCGGGCUCAACCUGGGAAUGGCAGUGGAUACUGGCUCGCUAGAGUGUGUCAGAGGAUGGUGGAAUUCCCGGUGUAGCGGUGAAAUGCGUAGAGAUCGGGAGGAACAUCAGUGGCGAAGGCGGCCAUCUGGUCUGUAACUGACGCUGAGGAGCGAAAGCGUGGGGAGCGAACAGGAUUAGAUACCCCAGUAGUCCCUGUCUCUUAUAC
rnacentral:rRNA from 1 species